ACAUACGCCUACAUAAAUUCGGUUACUAUUACGACUCACAGCUGGUACAUAGAAAUUCUUCUGACAGUUGUCACUCAACAAAUAUGCCUUUUCACUGUGUGGUAUUUUUUAACGAGAUUUAUAGGCGAAUUUUAUUCCUGGCAUUUCUUUUUCAAAUUCAUUUACUUUUCAUGUUCUUUGCUUGGCUUUUCAUUUAACAUUUUGAAAGAAACUUUCAGCUCACUUCGCUGCCAUUCACCUUCACGAACGAACAUUUACACUGCCAUUCAAUUGGUUUUCUUUCAAUUCACUUUCGCUAGCUUGGCAUGAAAUGAUUUCCUCUACGUAGAAAACUUCCAACCUUUAAUUUCAUCUUCAGUAAUGCUAAGGGAAUGUUGACGUAAAUACAUGCAGGUAUGAGUGAGUAUGAUACUACCCUAAAGCAGCAAUGGGAGUGGAGCACUCAGCUAUUUCUUUACUAGUUUACAAACACCUUCGUGUAGAAAGUGAGGACCCACUUGGAAAUUUAUACAAAAUUAUAAACCAAGUACUUGUAUAAUUCAUUCGUAAAAUAAAAAUGACGAGACGAGCAGUCCAAUAUGUACUUAGCACACAAAAGAAAAACGUAAAUUGCGGAAUUUUUCUCAACGAUGCUCCUAAUACUUUAACUCGUAUGAAAAAUAAAUAUAUGGAGGUCGGCAGAGGAAAAUUUCUGGAAACAAAAAGAAGUCGGAUGCAACAUCCGAAUACGAAUGGGGCAGCAGUUCGUAACCAAAUUCAAUCAGUUUGAUCGUGGUGAUGCCGGAGAUGUGAGUCGGUGCUUGGUCAUGUUAUAAAAGAACUAUUUUUAACAAAUCGUCAAAUGGGCCAUUUUUCCAACUCCUAAUCUGUCCAAUAAUUCGAUAUACAUAUUUUGCUGUUGUUUCAAAGGGGUAAAACGCAGUUCAAGCAAGACGAAAUUUAUGUGAUGUGUACUUAGAAGAUGUGUUGACCGAACUCCAAUACCAAAACUGAUUUGCAAAAUUUCGUUCCGGCAAUUUCAAUCUUUAAGAUUCCGAUGUGGAUAAAAGAAAAUCGUCGAAUAACAACUCGUGAGAUUGCUGAAAGAUCAAAUUUGUAUAACGCGACCUCUUAGAAUCACAUGAAACUUCUAGGAUUAAUUUCGAAGCUUGACAUAUGGGUUCCUCAUGUUCUUAGAGAACGAAAUUUCGAAAAUCGUCAUCGUGAUCCAUUUUUGAAACGCAUUGUUACUAAGGGAAUGUCCAUUUUGAUCUUUUGCCCGACAAUACCUCGAUUAAUUAAAGUGUAUUGUGACCAGCUGAACAAAUUGAGUGAUGCACUCAAACAGAA